GGAUGUGGGGAAGCCAAAAAUACUUCUCUCACGCACUCUCCACUUCUUGUUCAACGAGACAAAAGGUCUCCUUGCAAAGAACCGGAUAAUAGUUUUUUUGACGAAGAAGAAUAUUGUAUAGGGAGAACCACUGCUCACAUAGAGAUUGAGAAGGAAAUCUAGGGUUACAAGUGUUAUGCGACUCCAAAUCCAACAUCAACUUUGCUUGAGAAGGGUGAAGAUUUCUUUCAAUUUGGAGAUAUCCAAGUCAACAUCGACCCUUAUUCGUUCGAGUAGGAGAAGAGAAGGUUUUGUUCCUCCUCCUCCUGCACCCUCUAAGGGUAAUGAGCCCAAGGCUGUGGAGAAAAUUGAUUAGUUGAAUCUUCCUUGUCCCGUACUGUAUGAAGAAAUCAAUCGAGAAGCUCUAAGUGUUUGGAGGUGAUGAUUCUGAUACUGAAUCCCCUAGAGACAAUCACACUUCGGGAACAAGUUUGAAGCAACAUGGAGAUUCUCAUAAGUCAAUUAAAGAUUCCAAUAGUGAACAUAACGAGCAGCAAGGAACAUUGACAAAUGGAAGUGAGAACCCAAUGAAUGAGAUGGAUGGUAGUAGCAAUUUACCUGCCAAUGAAUCUCACCAAUCAAUGGGAGAGAUUCUGUCUUCAAUGGAUCCGAGACUAGUUGUCCUGCACUUGGACCUGAAUUAUGUGCAGAGAAGCAUGCAAGUAAACUAAAUGGCUCCAGCUUCAAUGUCAAGCGCUCGACUUUCUGGGGAAGGAACACUACCAGGAAGAACACAUCCAUGGAGUCGAUUGACUCUUCUGGUGAAGAAGAGUUCAACCAAUAUGUUAAGUGGAUUUGCAUUGGAAGAUGUACUGCAUUAUUAGAGAAUUUGAUUAUUUUUUUAAGUUCUUGUACUAUUUAUAUGUCAA